GUGUCAGCCGCCGCGGUAAUACGUAGGUGGCGAGCGUUGUCCGGAUUUACUGGGCGUAAAGAGCGCGCAGGCGGUCGUUCAAGUCGGAUGUGAAAGCCCCCGGCUCAACUGGGGAGGGUCAUUCGAUACUGAUCGACUCGAAGGCAGGAGAGGGAAGCGGAAUUCCCGGUGUAGUGGUGAAAUGCGUAGAUAUCGGGAGGAACACCAGUGGCGAAGGCGGCUUCCUGGCCUGUUCUUGACGCUGAGGCGCGAAAGCUAGGGGAGCAAACGGGAUUAGAUACCCUCGUAGUCC
rnacentral:rRNA from 1 species